GACAGAGGGUGCAAACGUUGUUCGGAUUCAUUGGGCGUAAAGGGUGCGUAGGCGGCGCGGUAAGUCGGGUGUGAAAUCUCGGAGCUUAACUCCGAAACUGCAUUCGAUACUGCCGUGCUUGAGGACUGGAGAGGAGACUGGAAUUACGGUGUAGCGGUGAAAUGCGUAGAUAUCGUAAGGAAGACCAGUGGCGAAGGCGGGUCUCUGGACAGUUCCUGACGCUGAGGCACGAAGGUCAGGGGAGCAAACGGG
rnacentral:rRNA from 1 species